rnacentral:rRNA from 1 species
AUACGGAGGGUGCGAGCGUUAAUCGGAAUUACUGGGCGUAAAGCGUACGUAGGCGGUUUGCUAAGUCAGAUGUGAAAGCCCCGGGCUUAACCUGGGAACUGCAUUUGAUACUGGCAGACUAGAGUAUGAUAGAGGGGGGUAGAAUUCCUGGUAUAGCGGUGAAAUGCGUAGAUAUCAGGAGGAAUACCAGUGGCGAAGGCGGCCCCCUGGAUCAAUACUGACGCUGAGGUACGAAAGCGUGGGGAGCGAACAGGAUUAGAAACCCUAGUAGUCC